CGCGGCCUAUCAGCUUGUUGGUGAGGUAACGGCUCACCAAGGCAUCGACGGGUAGCUGGUCUGAGAGGACGAUCAGCCACACUGGGACUGAGACACGGCCCAGACUCCUACGGGAGGCAGCAGUAGGGAAUCUUGCGCAAUGGGCGAAAGCCUGACGCAGCAACGCCGCGUGGGGGAUGAAUGCCUUCGGGUUGUAAACCCCUUUCAGCAGGGACGAAAAUGACGGUACCUGCAGAAGAAGCUCCGGCCAACUACGUGCCAGCAGCCGCGGUAAUACGUAGGGAGCGAGCGUUGUCCGGAAUUAUUGGGCGUAAAGAGCUCGUAGGCGGUUCAGUAAGUCGGGUGUGAAAACUCAAGGCUCAACCUUGAGACGCCACUCGAUACUGCUGUGACUUGAGUCCGGUAGAGGAGUGUGGAAUUCCUGGUGUAGCGGUGAAAUGCGCAGAUAUCAGGAGGAACACCAGCGGCGAAGGCGGCACUCUGGGCCGGUACUGACGCUGAGGAGCGAAAGCAUGGGGAGCAAACAGGAUUAGAUACCCUGGUAGUCCAUGCCGUAAACGUUGGGCACUAGGUAUGGGAUCAUAUCAACGGAUUCCGUGCCGUAGCUAACGCAUUAAGUGCCCCGCCUGGGGAGUACGG
rnacentral:rRNA from 1 species